rnacentral:rRNA from 1 species
CCGCUGCCGGCGACGUCGCGAGAAGUCCACUGAACCUUAUCAUUUAGAGGAAGGAGAAGUCGUAACAAGGUUUCCGUAGGUGAACCUGCGGAAGGAUCAUUGCCGAUUCCGCACCGAAAGAGCGACCCGCGAACCGGUUGGAAAGGACCUCCCAUAGGGGGAGGGCUGGGGCGCGCCCGAGGCCUCCCCCGACAACCAAACCCCGGCGCCACAGGCGCCAAGGAACAGCAACGAAGCAAGGCGCGCUCGCGGGCUCCGCCCGUGAAGCCGCCGUGUCACAUCCGAAACGACUCUCGGCAACGGAUAUCUCGGCUCUCGCAUCGAUGAAGAACGUAGCGAAAUGCGAUACUUGGUGUGAAUUGCAGAAUCCCGUGAACCAUCGAGUCUUUGAACGCAAGUUGCGCCCGAAGCCUUUAGGCUGAGGGCACGUCUGCCUGGGUGUCACGCAGCGUCGCCACCGCCCAAUCACGUGGGCUUGGCGGAUGAUGGCCUCCCGGGAGCCUCGCCUCCCGGCUGGCCGAAAAAGGGGCCCAACGUGACGGCCGCCACGAUCCACGGUGGUUGAGUGAGCACUCGCUCGAGCCGGGUCGCGCGCGCGCCGUGCCGAGGCAGUGGCCCGCCAGCAAGGUCGCUCUGGACCUUAGCCCGACACUCGUACGCGACCCCAGGUCAGGCGGGGCUACCCGCUGAGUUUAAGCAUAUCAAUAAGCGGAGGAA